AGUGAACGCUGGCGGUAGGCCUAACACAUGCAAGUCGAACGGCAGCACAGUAAGCGCUUGCUCUUACGGGUGGCGAGUGGCGGACGGGUGAGGAAUACAUCGGCAUCUACUUUUUCGUGGGGGACAACGUAGGGCAACUUACGCUAAUACCGCAUACGACCUACGGGUGAAAGCAGGGGAUCUUCGGACCUUGCGCGUUUGAAUGAGCCGAUGUCGGAUUAGCUAGUUGGCGGGGUAAAGGCCCACCAAGGCGACGAUCCGUAGCUGGUCUGAGAGGAUGAUCAGCCACACUGGAACUGAGACACGGUCCAGACUCCUACGGGAGGCAGCAGUGGGGAAUAUUGGACAAUGGGCGCAAGCCUGAUCCAGCCAUGCCGCGUGGGUGAAGAAGGCCUUCGGGUUGUAAAGCCCUUUUGUUGGGAAAGAAAAUCAGCAGGUUAAUACCCCGCUGUUCUGACGGUACCCAAAGAAUAAGCACCGGCUAACUUCGUG
rnacentral:rRNA from 1 species